CAAACACGUUUGUGGGUGUUUCUGUAACUACAGGUCGGGCACUCUUAAGUCCCAGUAGUGAAAUUUGGGAUUCAUGUUAAGAUUAAUCAUUUGAAGCUUGAUAAGUAUAAACACAGUGUUAUAACACAUCUUGACCUAAAAAUCAUUACUAAAUAAUGUUAUUUAAUACAAUUUAUGAAGCAUUUUAUGGGUCCAAACCGAUCCAAACACCACUUCUGUUCAUGUCCCACCACUGUGGUCUCAAGGUUGAGAUGCGUAAAAAAAGGUAAUUCAAUUACAAUAUGACAUUAUUUUAAAUGCAAUUGUUUCAUAAACAUAUUACUUUACCCUGUAUUAAAAUUAUAUUUUUAGUUUGGAUUUUUUCGUCUAAAUGCGCCUGUCCCACACUUCUGAGUCCUUCCCGCGACGCUGGACAAAUGUGACUGUGAAUUCUUAGGGUUAGGGUUAGGGUCAAAUCUGGUUUCUAUGGAAACACUAAUUGGUAAGUGAGCACAUGGAUGACAGGUUGGGCCACCCACACUAGGUGCCCCUCAAGAUAAAGCAAAAACAAGAUGAGACCAAAUUCAUCUGCAAUAAGAUCAAGGAAAUGCAGAGAGGAAAUGAGAAAAGACCCGGCCAGAUACGAAGCGUAUCUCCAGAAGGAUAAAGAGCGUUACAAAAAAGAAGUGAGAAAGGGCAGAUAAAGAGUGUCUCCCAACUGACGAAAAGAGAGACAAAUCUGAAAAGAAGACAGUGGAGGAUAAAUAAAAGAAACCAGAGGG